AAAGGGAGGCUCUUCGGAGCUUUCGCUGAAGGAGGGGCUUGCGUCUGAUUAGCUAGUUGGAGGGGUAACGGCCCACCAAGGCGACGAUCAGUAGCCGGUCUGAGAGGAUGAACGGCCACAUUGGGACUGAGACACGGCCCAAACUCCUACGGGAGGCAGCAGUGGGGAAUAUUGCACAAUUGGAGGAAACUCUGAUGCAGCAACGCCGCGUGAAGGAAGAAGGUUUUCGGAUCGUAAACUUCCUAUCAAUAGGGACGAAACAAAUGACGGUACCUAAAUAAGAAGCCCCGGCUAACUACGUG
rnacentral:rRNA from 1 species